rnacentral:rRNA from 1 species
UGGGGAAUAUUGGACAAUGGGCGCAAGCCUGAUCCAGCCAUGCCGCGUGAGUGAUGAAGGCCCUAGGGUUGUAAAGCUCUUUCAACGGUGAAGAUAAUGACGGUAACCGUAGAAGAAGCCCCGGCCAACUACGUGCCAGCAGCCGCGGUGACACGUAGGCACCAAGCGUUAUCCGGAUUUAUUGGGCGUAAAGAGCUCGUAGGCGGUUCGGUAAGUCGGGUGUGAAAAUCCAAGGCUCAACCUUGGGACGCCACCCGAUACUGCUGUGACUCGAGUGCAGUAGGGGGAGCAGGGAAUUCCUGGUGUAGCGGUGAAAUGCGCAGAUAUCAGGAGGAACACCAGUGGCGAAGGCGCUGCUCUGGGCUGUAACUGACGCUGAGGAGCGAAAGCAUGGGUAGCAAAACAGGAUUAGAUACCCUGGUAGUCCACACCGUAAACGAUGAAUGCCAGUCGUCGGUAGCAUGCUAUUCGGUGACACACCUAACGGAUUAAGCAUUCCGCCUGGGAGUACGGUCGCAAGAUUAAAAG